GAUGAAGAACGCAGCGAAAUGCGAUAAGUAAUGUGAAUUGCAGAAUUCAGUGAAUCAUCGAAUCUUUGAACGCACAUUGCGCCCGCCAGUAUUCUGGCGGGCAUGCCUGUUCGAGCGUCAUUACAACCCUCAGGCCCCCGGGCCUGGCGUUGGGGAUCGGCGGAAGCCCCCUGUGGGCACACGCCGUCCCUCAAAUACAGUGGCGGUCCCGCCGCAGCUUCCAUUGCGUAGUAGCUAACACCUCGCAACUGGAGAGCGGCGCGGCCAUGCCGUAAAACACCCAACUUCUGAAUGUUGACCUCGAAUCAGGUAGGGAUACCCGCUGAACUUAAGCAUAUCAAUAAGCGGAGGA
rnacentral:misc_RNA from 1 species